rnacentral:rRNA from 1 species
AGUGAACGCUGGCGGUAGGCCUAACACAUGCAAGUCGAACGGCAGCACAGUAAGAGCUUGCUCUUACGGGUGGCGAGUGGCGGACGGGUGAGGAAUACAUCGGAAUCUACUUUUUCGUGGGGGAUAACGUAGGGAAACUUACGCUAAUACCGCAUACGACCUACGGGUGAAAGCAGGGGAUCUUCGGACCUUGCGCGAUUGAAUGAGCCGAUGUCGGAUUAGCUAGUUGGCGGGGUAAAGGCCCACCAAGGCGACGAUCCGUAGCUGGUCUGAGAGGAUGAUCAGCCACACGGGAACUGAGACACGGUCCAGACUCCUACGGGAGGCAGCAGUGGGGAAUAUUGGACAAUGGGCGCAAGCCUGAUCCAGCCAUACCGCGUGGGUGAAGAAGGCCUUCGGGUUGUAAAGCCCUUUUGUUGGGAAAGAAAAGCAGCAGGUUAAUACCCCGCUGUUCUGACGGUACCCAAAGAACAAGCACCGGCUAACUUCGUG